GCAACGCCGCUCCCCAUUGGUCCGCCGAGAUGCCCCGCCCGUAGAUCGCCGCUCUCUAUUGGCUGAGCCGGCGCGUCGCCAUGGAAACGGCGCGGCCCGCCCCUGCCGGGGAGACGCAGGUACCCGGAAAGGAUACUUUUCUUAAAGAAAGGACUCUCACUGAGACAGCAGCCACAGGACACCUGAAUCUUUCAGAGAAAGAGAAUUUACUGCCCCAUUAUCAGGAGAAAUUAACUUCUUCCUGCCUCACUCAGCCCUGGAGGCACUGUCAGGAUUCAGAGGGAGAAGCUGGCACUGCCCAGACAGAAUCCUGUGUGUGAAUGGAAUUUAUGCAUCAUGGAUGAGCUGUAUGAAUAUGCAACAGGUUAUUGCUUUUAAGGGUUAAUGCUCUGUUAACGUGGGGCCUUUUUGGGCUUAUUUUACCCAGAAAAGGUACCCAGACUGUCCCUAACUCUUUCUUUCUACUGUCUCGUAUUGUCCUAAUCCUAAUUCUCCAAAUUAUAAUUCCACUAAUUACAUUACUAUUUUUAUAACCAUUUUAUUACUAUUAAACUUUUAAAAUUCUAAAACCAAGUGAUAGGAGUUUUUCACACAGGGUUCCCUGCUGUGCUGAGGGCUGAGAGCCCUGGGCCUGGGCUGGAGCCUCAGCCCCGUUUCCAUGUGAAAUUCCCAUUAGCACAGCCCCUCUGGGCAUGGAAUUUCCUUUCCAACAGCUUAAUAAUGUUAUUAAUGAAUUGUCCUUUUUAGCCUGCAAGAUAAACUGCAUCUGGAUCUGGCCAUUCUGAGAGCUUCUUUUAGCUCCUGGAGUCCCAAAUCUUCUGCUGGGUGAAAUGCUAUCAAACACCCACCACCGUGAUAUUUGGGAAACUUUCUCUUUGCUUCUUGCAAGUCCUUCAUUUCAUGCCUCAGGAUUGAGAGGGAGGAGCUGACACUGCCCAGACAGAAUCCUGUGUUUGAGUGGAAUUUAUGCAUCAUGGAUGAGGUGUAUGAAUAUGCAACAGGUUAUUGUUUUUAAGGGUUAAUGCUCUGUUAAUGUGGGGCCUUUUGGGGUUUGUGCUGCCCAGAAAAGGUACCUGGACAUCUGUAACUCUUUGUUUCUAUUGUCUCAUAUUGUCUCAAUUCAAAUUGCCUAAAUUAUUAUUACUCUAAUUGUAUUACUAUUUUUAUAACUAUUUUAUUACUAUUAAACCUUUACAAUUUUAAAAACAA